AUCCGGUGGUUCGUGGUAAACGAAAGAAAAAAAAUAUGGGAACGUCAGUGAUCUGUGGAGCGUCACGCGGAGCGCACUGUUUCAAUAAUAUUUAUGCCGGCCACCCCCGCUGCCUCGAGCAAGUCGAAGAAUGUUAUUUUCUUAAGCGUGGGUGAAGGGGAGUGCGUAAUAAGCGAGUUGGAUUUCGGUUGACUGACAUUCGCAGUAUCUAAUCUAGUCCGACGUUUCAAAUUCACUGUAUGCUUCUUACAAGCCGAGACUCGUUCCGUGCCUGUUCCAUUCAUCAAGCUCCGACUAUAUACGAAUGGCUCAAAAGGAAUUCUUGUUGGAAGUCUUGUUCGAAGAGAUGACACGUUACCUGGGUAUCUUCUUCUCAAGCUGAAAAGCUUCGCGUUCCAACUAGCCACGAUUUGCCUGCUCUUCGAGGAAUAAGACGCUGCACACACCCCAUCGUCGAUCGAGUGUAUCCCCUGUGCGCGCAACAAGAUACAGAAACAAAAGAUCGGCCUCUUUCCACC
rnacentral:misc_RNA from 1 species